rnacentral:rRNA from 1 species
GAUGAACGCUGACGGCAUGCUUAACACAUGCAAGUCGAAGGGGAAGUGGCGCUUGCACCAUGGUAACCAUGGCGGACGGGGGAGUAACACGUAAGGAAAUUACCUGCGGGACCGGGAUAACAGCCGGAAAAUGCUGACAAGUCCGGAUAAGGUCAUUAUGCUGCAUAGCUGAGUGAUGAAAGGAGACGCCUGCGGAGAGUCUUGCGUCCUAUUUGCUAGUUGGGGGGGUAGAGGCUCAACACGGCGAAGAGAGGUAGCCGGCCUGAGAGGGUGGACGGCCACAGGGGGAGUGAGAUACGGCCGUUACUCCUACGAGAGGCAGCAGUGGAGAAUAUUGGACAGGGCGGGCAACUCAGAUCCAGAAAUUCUGUGUGCACGAACACGGUUUUCGGAUUGUAAAGUGCUUGCAGGAGACAAAGAGGAAGUGACGGUACCUGCAGAAGAAGCGACGGCUAACUACGUG